rnacentral:rRNA from 1 species
CCUACGGGAGGCAGCAGUGAGGAAUAUUGGUCAAUGGCCGGAAGGCUGAACCAGCCAAGCCGCGUGAAGGACGAAGGUGCCAAGCAUUGUAAACUUCUUUUGUCAAGGGACAAAAUCAGGCUCGAGAGCCUGACCGAGGGUACUUGAAGAAAAAGCAUCGGCUAACUCCGUGCCAGCAGCCGCGGUAAUACGGAGGAUGCGAGCGUUAUCCGGAUUUAUUGGGUUUAAAGGGUGCGUAGGCGGGAAGCCAAGUCAGCUGUGAAAACUACGGGCUUAACUUGUAGACUGCAGUUGAAACUGGUUUUCUUGAGUGAAGUAGAGGUUGGCGGAAUGCCGGGUGUAGCGGUGAAAUGCGUAGAUAUUCGGAGGAACACCGGUGGCGAAGGCGGCCAACUGGGCUUUAACUGACGCUGAGGCUCGAAAGUGUGGGGAGCAAACAGGAUUAGAUACCCGAGUAGUC